rnacentral:rRNA from 1 species
UACAGAGGGUGCAAGCGUUGUCCGGAAUCAUUGGGCGUAAAGAGCGUGUAGGCGGCUCGGUAAGUCCGCUGUGAAAGUCCAGGGCUCAACCCUGGAAUGCCGGUGGAAACUGUCGAGCUAGAGUCCGGAAGAGGCGAGUGGAAUUCCUGGUGUAGCGGUGAAAUGCGCAGAUAUCAGGAGGAACACCAAUGGCGAAGGCAGCUCGCUGGGACGGUACUGACGCUGAGACGCGAAAGCGUGGGGAGCAAACAGG